rnacentral:rRNA from 1 species
GUCGAGAAUCAUUCGCAAUGCGCGCAAGCGUGACGAUGCGACGCCGCGUGGAGGAUGACGGCCUUCGGGUUGUAAACUCCUGUCAGGAGGGAACAAUGAUUCCAUGGUUAAUACCCAUGGGAAGUGAUGGUACCUCCAGAGGAAGCCACGGCUAACUCUGUGCCAGCAGCCGCGGUAAUACAGAGGUGGCGAGCGUUGUUCGGAUUUACUGGGCGUAAAGGGUGCGUAGGCGGCUUUGUAUGUCGGAUGUGAAAUCUCACUGCUCAACGGUGAAACUGCAUCCGAAACUGCAGGGCUAGAGUACAGGAGAGGAGAGCGGAAUUCUCGGUGUAGCGGUGAAAUGUGUUGAUAUCGAGAAGAACACCGGUGGCGAAGGCGGCUCUCUGGACUGAUACUGACGCUGAGGCACGAAAGCUGGGGGAGCGAACAGG